GCAGGUCGACAUGACCGAAAAACAUGACAUGACACUUCAAAUAAGCCCAUUUGACAUCUAAUAAGGCGGAACAUUUCUCUAAGUAGUGGUUGAAAACCUAAUUCUGCAGUCUACUCACCCGCUGGAAGCACGGCAAGAAGGGCAAGGCAAAGGACAGCAAACUUCAUGUUGGCAAAGGAGUAGCUCAAUCUGAAAGCGGUGAUGUUGACUCGACCGUGUGCUUCAGUAGAAUAAUGAAUUUUACUUUCACUCAGCCCCAUUUGACUGCCAAUCAUGAAAGACAGGGCGGAAAGUAGUUUGUGAGGUGUCCGAUAGAAAGGGAGGGGUGGGGGGCGUUGAGCUGAAAAGCUGAACCUGGCUAGCGAGUUUGAUUUAUCGAGGGGCCACAUGUAGACUGUAUGUAUAUCUUCGAAAGGAAAAUUCGAGUUAUUGAGGGUUCAAAUUAUCAGGAUUCAAAUGUAGGGAGAAAUGCUAUACGAGUAAAGCAAGACUUUACCAAACAUUCUCCCCUCCCCUGCUCCUUCCGUACUCUUCUGGUAUCAUAUGCGUCAUUGAUUGGGGUGGGGCUUAUACAAGACGAGUCUCUACAUGUUGUUUUGAUUGCGCUUUUAACAUUCGAUAUGGAAUGCGGAAUAUCGUGAUCCAGCUAUGUUUCGUUAAUGCUCAGAGCUAAUGAUUUAUAUGAUUUGGAACUAGUUCUGAGAAACUGAGAAAUAAUAUGACGCAAGGAAGUUAGAGGGACUAAGUCCUUUUUGGACUAAAUUUCAAAAGUAGCAAGUCGAAUGUAGAAAGUACAAAGAGUUCAAAAGAGAAAGUCAAAAGAGAAAUCGUAUAGAUUAGUGUAAAUGAGGUGAGACAUACUAAUCUGAACUGAAUCUGAAAUGAAAUAACAAUUAUUUGUUAUUCUCGAAGCCAUUUUUGGUUCAUAUUGUAAAGAGACUGACAAGUUAAUACAUAAGCAUUCACCAGUGAUGAAUAAACACCACGAACGGACAACUAAUAAAACUAGACCCUGCGCGCAGGGUUGACUGGAAUACCUGAGAUCUGCAAUUUGUUUGGGCCCUGUGUUGUGACAUGUAUGACAAAGAUGCUACUGCCCAACAACUUCGGACAUAAUAAAAUAUCUGUAUAAUCUUGUUUUUUUUAUUGUAAAUGCCAUAUCACAACACUGAUUGGGGCAAGAAAGGUACGAAGCAUCAUCUCUUGAGGUUGGACUUGAGAGGUGUGCUCCAUUUAAGUAGAUGGGGCUGAUUGUCCUAUCUUUUGCAGUGUAAAAAUCUAACAAAUACUUUCCGCGCAGCAGCAGAGAUAGCACCGAAAUAAAAUUCAGGAAAAACGAAAA